GUGUGUAUACAUAUGCAUAUAUACAUAUAUGUAGUAUAUGUGUAUACAUGUACAUAUGCAGAUAUAUAAUGCAUCUAUGUAGUGUAUGUGUAUACAUAUGCAUUAUAUAUACAUGUAUGCAUUGUAUAUCUAUAUUUAUAUACAGAUAUAUACAUAUACACAGUACAGUGGUUUGAUUAAAAAAUGAAAAAGUUGGGCUUUUAUGGGUCAUUGCUCUGUUUUUAAUUUAGAGUGGUUAUGGAAGGUACAUGGGAUAUGAAGUUCAGGUUUUAGCUCUGCGGGUUAUUAGCUGUGUAAUUGUAGACGAGUCUUUGUACAAGUCUUAACUCCUUAUGUAAAAUUGAAUAGGAAACAAUAAGUACUUUAUAGUGAGGUGAACAUAAUAUUAGAUAAUGUGAAAGUACCAAGUAAACUGUAAAUAGUAUUUGUAUUUUUUAUGGUUAGUAAUAUCAUCUGCCUCAUUCUUGAAUUUUUUCAGUACCUUUGUUAUUCAAAAUAAUACAAGAUAGAAGAUAUUUUUGGUAUGUGCCAUUCUGUUUUAAUAUCAUACAUUAUUUUGUUAUGUGAAAACAAUGUAAAGCUACACAAUUAAAAUAGUGUGGCAUUAUUGCAGAAAUACACAUAUAAAUCAAUAUUUUUAGAAUAAAGUGUUCACAAAGACCUAAAUAUAUGUGACUUAACAUAUGAUGAAGAUACAAUUUUAGUAAGAGAGGAAAGGAUGGAUUCUUUAAUAAAUAGUAUUGGGACCAUUGCCUAGGAAUUUAGGAAACUAAUAAAGCUGACUCCCUCCUAUAUACUAUAUGCCAAAAUAAAUUUAAUAUGGGUUAAGUAUUUAAUUAAAAACAUAACACUCUUAGAUAUUUCAGAUGAAUAAUUUUAAUAUAUUGAAAUCAAGAAGGUCCUUCUAAGUGCGAGUCAAACACCAUGAAUUUAAAGGUUAAUAGAUUGACUAAUUUAAGAUUUAAAGACCCUUUAUUCAAAAAGCGCAUCAAAAAAAUUGAAAUACAAAUUACACACUGGCAAUUAUUAUUUAUGACAUAUAUUCAGAUGAAGAUGUAUUUUCUUUAUAAAGAGCUCUUACAAA
rnacentral:lncRNA from 10 species